rnacentral:lncRNA from 1 species
UGCGCAGUGAGUUCUCAGCGCCUCCCGCCGCGCAGGCUCGGCGUUGGCCUCCGCGGCCCGUGCGAGUGCGCCCUUCUCGGGUCCCCUAGGUCGCGGGGCAGCCGGGGCGGAAGGGGCUUGUUCAUUAUUUUGAGAGUUUGUUGUGAACGUCAUAACCUUUCGUCCUUAAAUAUUGCCGAUACUUGACCUACGCAAGAGACAAUGUCAUGUGAUUCAGCCUAAUAUCUCAGAGGAUGCAGCAUUCAAGGUUCUAUCUUGGAAGCAGAGACUGUGCCCUCACCAGAUGCUGAACCUGCUGAGCACCCUGAUCUUCCACUUCACCUUCAUCAGAACUACUGGGGCUGUGGCUGAGAUGUCACAUGGCAGAUAGGAUCACAAAUUUCUGUUGUAUCUGGAUGGAGAUCAGCAGGAGGAUCUAUGGGUGAGAAGAAGCACAGUUACAGAUGGAUUCUAGAGCCUGCUUGCUGACACAGGCUUGCAACUGCGGACUUUAUAAGCUUAGUUUUUAAUCUGCUAUCAGCUAGCAUAAUACCAUAAAUGCAUAAGAAACUAAGUAUUCAGUCUUACGAGAAAUGCUAUCUUGACCUGACCCUUUCUCCAAAUAAAUUGACAAAAUAUCUCAUCGUCUAGGAUGCCAGACAGAAAUACCAGUUGCAAUGUUUUGUUGCAUAAAGUUUAUCCUAAUUUAAAUUAGUGGCAUAUAAAGUCAUCAUCUUGCUUGAACAAACAUCUUAUUAAAUUGAGCAUGUCUUUUAUCCCAUGAAAUGAAAUUAAUUUUGAGAUAGUUAUUUUUCAGUUGGAAAUUUAUUGAGUUGAUAGAAAACAAGUUAUAUAGUCUUCCAAAGAAUAUGUUACAUCCAUUUGCAUUUUGUUUUUCUUCAGCAAUGUUUGGUUUUUAGAAAAUCUUACAAGUUAAAUAUACUAAUGUAGAAAUUGAAAGAAAAUAAUCAGAGAUAGAGCAAUAAAUUUGCAAAUAAAGAUUAUUCUUAAAACAAAUGU